rnacentral:rRNA from 1 species
CCUACGUGCGGCAGCAGUAGGGAAUAUUGCUCAAUGGGGGAAACUCUGAAGCAGCAACGCCGCGUGAAGGAUGAAUGUUUUCGGAUUGUAAACUCCUUUUGUUAGAGAAGAUAAUGACGGUAUCUAACGAAUAAGCACCGGCUAACUCCGAGCCAGCAGCCGCGGUAACACGGCGGGUGCAAGCGUUACUCGGAAUCACUGGGGGUAAAAGGGGCGUAAGCGGGAAGGCAAGUCAGGUGUGAAAUUCUAGGGCUUAACCAUAGAUGUGCAUUUGAAACUGUUAUUCUUGAGUGUGGGAGAGGUAGGUGGAAUUCGUGGUGUAGGGGUAAAUUCCGUAGAGAUCAAGAGGAAUACUCAUUGCGAAGGCGGCCUGCUAGAACAUAACUGACGCUGAUGCGCGAAAGCGUGGGGAGCAAACAGGAUUAGAUACCCGAGUAGUC